GACGAACGCUGGCGGCGUGCUUAACACAUGCAAGUCGAACGGAAAGGCCCUGCUGGGGUGGGAUGCUCGAGUAGCGAACGGGUGAGGAACACGUAAGUAACCUGCCGUGGGCGAUGGGAUAACUACAGGAAAGUGGGGCUAAUACCGGAUAGGAGGUCGUGCUGGAUGGUGGGGGCUGCAAAGUUUCGGCGGGUGGGGAUGGACUCGCGGCUGAUCAGCUUGUUGGUGGGGGAGUGGCUUACCAAGGCUUUGACGGGUAGCCGGCCUGAGAGGGUGACCGGCCACAUUGGGACUGAGAUACGGCCCAGACUGCUACGGGAGGCAGCAGUGGGGAAUAUUGCACAAUGGGCGGAAGCCUGAUGCAGCAACGCCGCGUGUGGGAUGACGGCCUUCGGGUUGUAAACCGCUUUCGCCUGUGACCAAGCGUGAGUGACGGUAAUGGGUAAAGAAGCACCGGCUAACUACGUG
rnacentral:rRNA from 1 species